rnacentral:tRNA from 1 species
GCGUUUUUGGAUGGUAUAAAAAGGUUUUUGAAGACAAAAGUCAUCGGUUCAAAUCCAAGGAAGGCCU